AACGCACCUUGCGCUCCUUGGCAUUCCGAGGAGCAUGCCUGUUUGAGUGUCAUUAAAUUCUCAAUCCAUAAUAUUUAUUUAUUAUGGACUUGGAUGUGGGAGUGUGCAGGCCCCUUUUGAAGGAUCUGCUCUUCUUAAAUGCAUUAGUCGGACUUGUUGCAACAGUCUGUGGUGUGAUAAUAUCUACGCCCAGGCCCUGUGCAGUCUUGCGGUCCAGCUUCCAAUGGUCCAUUCAAUUGGACAGCUCAUUGACAAUUUGACCUCAAAUCAGGUAGGACUACCCGCUGAACUUAA
rnacentral:misc_RNA from 1 species